GACGAACGCUGGCGGCGCGCCUAACACAUGCAAGUCGAACGGAGCUGAGAGAAGCUUGCUUUUCUUAGCUUAGUGGCGAACGGGUGAGUAACGCGUGAGUAACCUGCCCUGGAGUGGGGGACAACAGUUGGAAACGACUGCUAAUACCGCAUAAGCCCACGAUCCGGCAUCGGCUUGAGGGAAAAGGAUUUAUUCGCUUCAGGAUGGACUCGCGUCCAAUUAGCUAGUUGGUGAGGUAACGGCCCACCAAGGCGACGAUUGGUAGCCGGACUGAGAGGUUGAACGGCCACACUGGGACUGAGACACGGCCCAGACUCCUACGGGAGGCAGCAGUGGGGGAUAUUGCACAAUGGGGGAAACCCUGAUGCAGCGACGCCGCGUGGAGGAAGAAGGUUUUCGGAUUGUAAACUCCUGUCGUUAGGGACGAUAAUGACGGUACCUAACAAGAAAGCACCGGCUAACUACGUG
rnacentral:rRNA from 1 species